GCUGCUGUGUCUAAGAAAGGCGGCUCCAAAAUUGCUUAGCCGACAAAAGUUUUGUUUUUUCACAAAUUCUGAGUACUGCGGCUUUCGGGAAAGCCAGUUUGCCCUGUCCUUUGAGAGAGGACCUGUUUGAUAUCACGGAGUAUCGGGAACGUGGAAAUGGAAAGAAAUGUUGCAUUGCUCGACGGAAUAUGACAGAUCAAAAAAAUAUCAUCGCAUUGAUUUUACUUCUUUCAAACUUGGGGUUUGACAGCCGUUGUUAUCGAUACUUGAGAGCCUCAAAAACAUAAGCAAAGAUUUCAGGCGUCUUCAUUAAAAGCCUUAUUUCAUCAAUAAAAUUCAGAAGAAAAAUUUGGAUAAAAGAUUAUAUCGACGUAAUGUUGCCCCGAAGUGAUGUGACUUGUUCAUUAAAAGACUGAAGGUUCAUAUCUGUAUGUUCAUAUCAUCAUCUAUCAAGCAAUUUUGAAGACAGUUUCCUACACUUGAAAGCUCCCCCGUUCAAGAUAUCAGUUCAGACUUUCUCUCCACGAAAAUCUGGAUCAACGAGGGAAGGCGGGAUGCUUGUCGAAAACGAUGCUUGUCACUAAAGUCGCAAUGAGAUACAGGUAUUCCGAAGAUAUUGGCGAAGCAGAAUGGGAAAGCUCCUAAUUUUUUAAUAAAGUGUAUCUUUGCUGCUGUGUUCUGUUUUAAAAUGGGAAAGGGGGGAUAAAUACGCUGGUUUAAUAGACUCGUUUAUAGUCGACGUUCAACAAGCAUGUAAAAUGCAGACACUCGUGUUUUUAUAAGUCUUGAUCACUUUUGGUUUUUACUUCAACAAUCCAUGAAGACCAUCCCAUUCACAACCACGAUUUCCGCCAUUCUUCUGCUUGGAAUGCAUUCCACACAAUAUUGUUAGGUUCAUGGCAACUUUUUCAAUUUAACAAACCAAUCCAAAUUCGGUAACAGCCUUUUCUUUGCUGUCUGCGGAAGUAGGUUUCUGCAUGGCGUGACUUUAGUAACAAAGAUAUAAUAUUACGGUCGCUCAGUGAAGAUGGAAUUCAAGGACGCCUCCAGGAUAAAACCUACACGAAUAUCCUGAGAAGUAUUUUCUUUAUUAAAGCUAAUACAUGAAGUAUCCUACAAGGUUCUUUCGUCCAUGUUAAAAAUGGCAACACCUUUUUCACACAUGACGGUAUGUAAAAAACCCGUAUUCAUGCAGACACAACUGUAUAUUGGUGGAAAUGUAACUCGUAAAGCGAUAAAUGGAUGGUUAUCUCAGAAAUAACGAAGGGUACGCGUUUUUUUUUGCAAAAGGUACGUGGUUGAAUUUUGACUGCAUUCUUUUGUUUCUGGACACUGUAUGUAAAGUUAGCUUUAGUUUUAUCUUGUUCCUCCACCUCGGGUAUCUCUGAGUACGAUUAGAGACAAAAUUCUUGCAGAAGUGGUCUUCUGGUAACUCAAUCAAUAUACACAUCAAUAUAUCAAUAUGUCCACUGAGCAUUAACAUGUGUCGGGGAUUAAUAUAUUUUCCUCUGGCGUGUUUUUUGCACCCAUGUGCAAACGACGUUGGAAAUAAUUGUGUGUGGAAAUAAGAGUGCUAGAAUUUCUAAAGUAAUGUGAACUAGUUGGUGCUGCAGUAAAAAGACAGGAAUUAUGGCAUGAACAUAGAGUUAGAAUUUAGUUUAUUUUAACACAUAUGGUGCUCUCUUAUUAACAGAUAUUGUUGUAUUUCAUUUAAACCUUUCUAUACUUAAUAUAAAAUA
rnacentral:lncRNA from 1 species